UCCUUUGCAGUUGCUUCAGAUUGAGUCGAA
rnacentral:piRNA from 1 species